UCAAAAUGAUGUAAAACAAUAAUCCGAAGAAACCAUGUGGUAUCACAAAUAUACGAGCUUUUUAACACUGAUUACG